rnacentral:lncRNA from 1 species
ACAUCAGAUAAAUAAUCAUUCAUUUUCAUAAAAUUGCUUUUUUUCAAAAUAUUCCCUUCAACCAUGUACAUAAAAUAUAGUCAUCUUAGCUUACUAUAUACUAGAUUAUUCUUAAAUAAUAUGUUCUUCUGUCACUAUUAACAUGGUAAUCCGGAUACUUUUUCCCUUAAACAGCGCCUCUACUCUGGUUACUCCCCGCCACGGCUUCUUGCCUCAUUGGUUUCACCUUUAGGAUGGCAUAGUCCUUAGGGAUAUUUCUCCGUUUCCUCUUUGUUAAUAAACUUCUUAACAUAUUAUUCUUCGAAUAAUUCUACUAUAAAGUAACUAAUAUGAAUUUAUUUUAUCAUAUCAUGAUUGUUGGGAAUUAUGAAUUUAGCUAUUCAUAAUCAUAAAUAGAUAUACCUGUUCGGGUAGCUUUGAUAUUUCUGAAGUUUGUUGCUCCAUAGCUUUUUCCAUUGAAAUAUGUUU